GACGAACGCUGGCGGCGUGCUUAACACAUGCAAGUCGAACGGUGAAGCGCCUUCCUUUUUGGUGGGUGUGGAUGAGUGGCGAACGGGUGAGUAACACGUGAGUAACCUGCCCCCUUCUUCUGGAUAACCGCAUGAAAGUGUGGCUAAUACUGGAUAUUCUGGGUCUGUCGCAUGAUGGGUCUGGGAAAGAUAUUGUUUCGGUGGGGGAUGGGCUCGCGGCCUAUCAGCUUGUUGGUGGGGUGAUGGCCUACCAAGGCGGUGACGGGUAGCCGGCCUGAGAGGGUGGACGGUCACACUGGGACUGAGACACGGCCCAGACUCCUACGGGAGGCAGCAGUGGGGAAUAUUGCACAAUGGGCGCAAGCCUGAUGCAGCGACGCCGCGUGAGGGAUGGAGGCCUGCGGGUUGUGAACCUCUUUCGCCAGUGAAGCAGGACUGCCUCGUGUGUGGGUGGGUUGACGGUAGCUGGAUAAGAAGCGCCGGCUAACUACGUG
rnacentral:rRNA from 1 species